rnacentral:lncRNA from 1 species
AUAAUUAAAACGGCUCGAAAAAAAAACAUUCAAAGUUAUACAACUGACUGCAAGUGAUUUUUUCUCUUCCAAAUCACUAGAAAAAAAUAUAACUAAUCGAAGAAUUUCAGUUGGUAAAACCAAAGAGGAGUGGUUAAAAAUUCAGUGGUUAAAAUUCCAUAAACUUCAUCCAUUUUCAAUCUUCUACAAAUACUCAAAUAAUGAAGAAGUUCUCUUUGAAGAAGUCAGUGUGAAGAGAAGGCAGUCAGAAACUGUAGUACAACUAGAUGCUUUGGAAAAACCAACUAUUGCUGAAAAAAAAA